GAUGAACGCUGGCGGCGUGCCUAACACAUGCAAGUCGAGCGGCAGCGAGGGGUGCUUGCACCCUGUCGGCGAGCGGCGGACGGCUGAGUAACGCGUGGGAACGUGCCCCAAAGUGAGGACUAACUGCCCGAAAGGGUAGCUAAUACCGCAUAUUAUCUUCGGAUCAAAGGAUUUAUCCGCUUUUGGAGCGGCUCGCGUCGGAUUAGGUAGUUGGUGAGGUACUGGCUCACCGAGCCGACGAUCCGUCGCUGGUCUGAGGGGAUGACCACCCAGCCUGGAACGGAGACACGGUCCAGACUCCUUCGGGAGGCAGCAGUAAGGAAUCUUCCACAAUGGGCGAAAGCCUUAUGGGGCAACGCCGCGUGCAGGUCGAAUGCCUUCGGGGUGUAAACUGCUUUGAUAAGUGAGGAAUAUGACGGUAACUUAUGAAUAAGGACCCGCUAACUACGUGC
rnacentral:rRNA from 1 species